GCACUGCUGAGGAGUCCCACAAUAGGACGAAACAGCUGUCCAGUGC
rfam:Schistosoma mattheei strain Denwood, Zambia genome assembly, scaffold: SMTD_scaffold0001505